GGAGCGUUAGUCGAGCGGUCAAGACGCCGGCCUGUCACGCCGGAGAACACGGGUUCGAUCCCCGUACGCUUCG
rnacentral:tRNA from 1 species